CCGCAACAAGUCACUUAGAUGGAAACAACAUCUCUGGUGGGAAAAUGUUUUUAUGCAGAUUUUAGAAUAUUCGCAUGAAAAUCUGUCGCCAAUUGGAUGGAAACCUAGCUAGUGUUAACCAUUCACUUUCCAACACAACUGAAGAGAUUAAAUCAGAAUAUCAUUUAAAUUAUAGAAAAUAUUAAAUAGAAAUAAAUGUUUAUUUAAAAUAUAAUAAAUCAUUUUAUGAAUCUGUAGGCCUUCUCCGAAGGCCCUUACUGUUCGACACUGUUAAAGGAGCUGUAAAAGGGCUAUUAAUGAGAAAUUUGGCCAAAAAAAUAAUCUCAUUCUGUCCUGACCCAGGUUUAUUCAACAAAAUCAAUGUCGCAAAAAAAGCAUUGUGACAUGUGUAUGUAAAUGGCAGCUAUAGAGAAAUGUUCUAAAGAUCAACAAAAUGUUUAUCUGUUCGAUUGGGGAUUUUUCUUUGUCAAACUUUAUUUAUUACAACAAAUGAUGAUAGAAGCUGUGCUUUUCGAAUAAAUUAUGAUUGUAGAAUAAUUUUGAAGGUACACUGGGCGUGUGAUGUCAUCGCGUAAACAAACUACAGUAUAAAGCGCCCCCAAAGAUUCUUUAGAAAUUCUGUGGCUCAACUCCACAUAUAAUUCUAAAUGCCCACUGCUUGUUAAAUACAUUUCUUUCAACUAUAAAAAUGAUGUUUAUUUGCAGGACAAGGAUUGUCUUGACUUUCAGGAAUGCCUGAAUUGUUUUACUGGUUGGCUGGAUGUUUCAUCAUCCAAUUAUUUCAGAUCUACAGGAGUGCAAUGUUCACCACAUGCACAGGCUGUGGCAAAACAUUGGAACAUGAAAACGUUACAUCUGCUCCUGCCAUGCCCUCUACUUCUCAUCCUGAACCUCCCUAAACCUGCCACCACUCCCCCAGUGCUCUCUCCCUCUGUGUGUAUGUGAUUGUGUGUGUGGAGACAGGUGUGCUGGAAGCAGAGCGGAUUCCCACCAGCUGCAACCUGUUCCAUAAUCAAGAACCCUACAAAUACUCAGCCCUGCCGUUGCCAGAUCGUAUCCUCUACUCAUCCCGUCUGUUCUGACACUGGUACCCGUCUCCAGUCCCUCAUCUCCUCAGUCCUGCUUCCCUGCCCUGGAUCCCUGCUCUACUGCUUCAUUGGAUUCCGCUCCAGACCUGCUUACCCAGUUCCUAAUCUCCUUGCCCCCAGCCUCAGUCUGGAUUCCCUACUACCCAGCUGAGGUUCCCCUGGACUGCACCCCAUCUCCUUUCCCAC
ensembl:lncRNA